rnacentral:lncRNA from 1 species
ACUCAUGCCUUGCACACAUACCCACUGCGCUCUCAUCCCCAUGCUCACACUCAGGUCCCAUGCACAUGUCCCUUGCACACUCACACCCAUCGCAGAACUCCAUAUCGUUUGCACACCCACACUCCACACCCGCCCACUCCCAUCCCUUGCACACUCACUUCUGCAGAAGCAUCCAUGCCCCUUGCAUGCUCAUCCCUUGCACACCUGCAGUUCCUUUGCACGCUCAUCCCUUGCACACCUCCAGGUCCUUUGCACACCCUCCUCCCACACUCACAUCACUCGCACACCUCCAUAUCUCCAUGCACAACCGCACCCCUUGCACAACUGUCUUGCUUGCACGCUCACACCUCUUGCACACUUCCUUCCCACACUUGCAUUCCUUGCACGCCUUGGUGUCCCUUGCACAUGCACACCUCCACACCCCUUGCACACUUCCAUGCCCCUUGCACACCCAUAUCCUUUGCACGCCUAACUCUCCUUUGCACAUCCCACAGCUUACACACCUCUGUGCCCCUUGCACGCUCACACCUGUUGCACACUUCCACGCCCCUUGCACACCCAUA